UGUAUUCACAUUGUUUUCCUAUUUUGCUAGAGUGUGUGAGUAAGGGAGCAUCCUGUCUGCGCACGUUUUAAACCAUGCUGAAGAAGACGGAUUGUUCACACACUUCUUAAGGAUAUUUUAGCUGAUUGAUCAAGCUACAAGGGGACAGAGGCAUAACAGGCCUAUCUGAAUGUCUUAACUGGACGUUUUGGAAGUUAUGGAUUUGCACAAGCCUGAAAGUUGGCAUAUAAGCAGACGGAUGUGAAGAAAAUGUGCACUGGGAUUUGGAUUUCUGCCUGUUAUAUAUACAUCGAUGGCAUCUGGUUAAUUAAGGAGCAAAUUAGCACAGUCAGGUAUUUAAGUCUCUAUACGGCUGCAGCGUUUGAAGCAAGAGGUAUAUUAUAGACGCAGUAAAUCCUUGUUAUUUAUGAAUGCAUAUAAUGCUUUUACUACGUUUCAAAUCAAGGUCGAAUGUAUGUAGUCGAGU